GGGUCAGAUUUUUUUGCGGAUCUUAAAUUUUUGCUUGCGAGUUGAAAAGUUUUGAACUCUUCAGCACAGGGGGCGGUAUCUUCCCUCUGGGAUGAGAGGCCUUUUUCCAUUGGUCAAACUGGAUUGACGUCACAUGUUGGCCACGCCCACUACAUUUUCGCGCGAUUGGACUCCCUAACAGUUAGAUGAACGAGCGAUGGCGAGCAACAGGUCUACUUCGAGGUAAGUUAACAAAAACUGUAUAACUUGUAUAUUAUUAUCCACAUGUCCCAUCGAAUAACAUAACGACUGCUAUUAUUAGCUCGGAGUACUUCGUAAUAUAGAUGAAUAAUCUCGAUUAACUUACAUUUGCUGUCGGCCUUCAGUAGUGCACAGCUGCAAUAGGCAACGGAAGGCCGCUGUAUGUUAUUUUGGAAAAUAUACAUUAAUGUACCGUCACUGUAAAAACAGGCUUUGCUUAUGUCUAUAGAUGACAGCUUUAAAAUCACUGGUUUUAGUGAAGCCGGACAUCAGAGUAAAUAAACAUUUGUGAAAGCUAAUGUUAAUAUGGUGCCGCAGGGGCGGCCUGGUACUAGAGGUCUGCAUUCCCGUGCAGAUCUCUACCUGGGACAGUAUUUUUGACCGGGAGAGAUUGAGGUAAAAUAGGUUUGAUAUUCGUACAUUCGUUCCUUUAACAGCCCAUAUAUUGUUUACCACGCUAAGUUUAAUAUUGAGUCUGAUAUAGCAUGCAAGGAUAACGUUAACUUCAAAACAAUGUUAGCACUAUGUAAUUGACUGUGAACAAUGUUGUAACCUUACUUUGAUAUUCAUUAACUGCUAAUAUGAUUUCCUUUUUAAAAUUUGCAAAAAAAAACUUUUGUGAAAGCCAGAUUCACAGUGGCAGGCCAGGUAGACUAUUGGGUCCGUCCCACCCUUUGGCCAGUCUGCCCCUGUUGUGUCUAUUUAAAGAUAUAUAAAUUGUCAAUCUCAUUUUCUUUCUAUUCUUACAGAAUGGAAAACCAAGCAGGCAGAUCGCAGCAACCGUAUGACCAACGUGCCAUUACGGAAGCUGCACAGCAUUUUAUGUCCUUGGUGGCAAGAGUUAUACCAGAUGAAAACUCAAGACAGGGCCAGACUCAGAUCCAACCCCAGCAGUCAGAAAGGGCCACAGUGGAGCAUGAAAUGGCUAGAUCCUUUCCUGGUUUUUUUAAAAAUGCUGGCAAAUAUAAACGACAGCUUGCUAAAAGUCACAAGCCUGUAAUCCCAGCAAAGGCACAAAAGAGAUUUGCUUUCUCUGUUUCUUUGCUGGGAUCUAAAUCAGAAACAACCCCAUCCCUGUCGGAAGAGCUCGAGUUAAUGCAAGCAGGUUUAGGGAAGAGGACCCUGUCCUUAACUUCAGAUUCAACACAUCCAGAGUUGUCAAAUUUGUUACGGGAAACCUAUCCAAAAAUGAAUGAUUUGGAAGACAGAUGGCUAAUUUUCAAAGCGGCAGGUGGAAAUGGACGAAGGAGACUGUCCGCUGUACCAUUGGAUUCAGAGGGGUAUACAGGAUCACUAAUCAAAAAUGCCUCAGGUGGAGGAAAAAAUUUACUCUACAUCGUACCACUUCAAGAUGAGCUUGAUUUGACGCCACUGUUGAUGCCACCAGAUGCACCUGAAAUUGCAAGAAUGCCAAAGGCUCAUUGUAAAAAAUGCAAUACUUUGAUGCCUCUUCAGACAUUGGCUUUGCAUGCUGAACAGUGUGACAACUUGGAAACUUCUGAAAAUGAGGAAGAUGAUUUGGUGUUGAUAGAGGAGACAGCGUCUUCAAGGCAAAAUAUUGCACCUUCUAAUGAUGCAACAUCAUCCAAUGUUAAACCAUACGCUCAGGAGCAGUCCAUAUGAAGUGAGAGAAGAACAACCCUCCUUUGGUUUUGAUAACAUCUCAUGGUAAGCUAGUAAGCGGUAAUCUAAUUAUUGUCUUGUCAAAACAAUACACUACAGAGGUUGUAAAUGUUUUUUUUUAUUACAGUGAGGAGGACGUAAUUCAAUAUGCAGCAGCACAGAUAAAUGCCACAAAAACAUUUGAAUUAUGCGUGUCACGAGAAAAUAUGGUUGAGAGAGGUCUAAAGAUGUGGAAACGGCAAAAAACAGGAAGCCCUGUCAAUCCCUUGAAAAUUAGCUUCCUGGGAGAACCCGGAGUUGACACAGGGGCACUGAGGAAAGAGUUUCUUACCAGUGUGUAGUAUGCUUUUAAAUAUACCCUAAAAUUGUUUUCAACCCAACCCCUAUAUAUUUAUAUACACAAGCUGUUCUGUCACUUUGUUGCCUAAAACUUCCCUUUUCCCCUCACACAUUUAGCAAUUGUUGCCGGCUUUGAAAAACGUCUCUUUGAAGGUGAUUCAAAGAAUGGAAAAAUGCCUAAGUACUCCCUGAAUGAUCUCGAUAAUGAGCUGUUCAAGUAAGUGUCUUACCUUUUGGAUUAAAGCUUCACUUCAUAUUUACAAAAUUCAUUUUCAAUAAUUUAACGCUUGGUAAAUAAUGUUGGGAUUUUAAUUAUAGCAGUAAUUUUUGUGUUGAUAAAUGUGUAUUUGAAGUGAAGCACUACAAACAAAUGUCAUCUGUAUAUGGUAUAAUUAAUGAUGAAUCAUUUAUAUAAGUAAAUGAUUAUACUAUAAGUAGUAUAAUGCCCUUUCAUCAUCUAUUGCUAACAUAUAUAUAUAUUUGAACUAGAGUUGCAGGUGAAAUAUUUGCUGUGAGCAUUGCCCAAGGAGGACCAGCCCCACGGUUUAUGCAAGAAU
rnacentral:lncRNA from 1 species